GGACAUUAUAACUCGAUUAUAACUUGUACUUAGCUUGCAUAUCCAAUCAAGGUGAACAGGUUAGCUCAUAGACGUAUUGGAUGGUGGAUUGCUUGAUCAUGCUAGACUUGGACUUGGACUUCUUGGAUCCGUGAUUCAUUUCCCGAAUUAGGGGUUAUGCUUAUGUGUGAUCUAGAUACUUGCAUUAUUGAAUGGUUCGUAUGGAUUACUUGAUCCUUUUUAUGCAUUUA